AUCUAAAUAACACGGAAGAGCAACAUAAAGAGAGUAAAGAUGGCUCAUCAUCCUGCUAUACGGGACUAAGGAUCCUGAUAAGAAACAGAAGGACAAAAUGGCAUGCCUGCGGUGAUGUCAUACCCCCUUGUGAUUCUCACUCUGUUGUGACUGUCUCUAAUACUCCCCAGGUGAGUCCCCUAUGGGUUGUUGGUUUAACAAAGAUACUCCAUCAUGUUCAGUAAAUACUUUUCUGACCUACUUUAUAAAGAAUUUCUUCUAAUCAGGAUGGAUAUUAAACUUCACCAACUUAGUGAUUUGUACUAAUAGAUUGCUUUACAUUAAACCAUCUUUGCACUUCUAAAAUAAAUUCUCAUUUAUCAUUAUGAAGUAGGCUUUUAAUAGUCUGCUGGAUUUGACUUGCUAACAUUUUAUUUACGAUUUGUUUUUAAUCCAUAGCCACAAUUUAGCUUGUUCUUUAGUUUUUAUUUUUCUGCUUUCUAUAUUUUACUGAAGAAAAGCUUUGCAAAAUUAUUAAAGAAUUGGCAAGCCUUCAAUAUGUCUCUAUGCUCUCCAGCCUUGAGGUUGGAAAAAAUUAAUUCCUGAAACCAUUAGGACCUCACUUCUUUUGAAGAAAUAACUCUUUGAUCUCUUUUUAAGAUCAAAGAUCUAAGAUCUCAUAGGCCAUUGUAAGGUUAUUUUCCUCUGGUUAUUGAUCCACUUAACUUUCUACUUCAUUUUGCGUUAGUUUGGGUUAUUUAUAUUUUCCUAGAAAAUCUUCCAUUUCAUCAAGAUUAUAUUUAUCGUCAUGAUAAGUUUGUACAUGAUAUUCUCUGGACUCUGAAACAACUUCACCCAAUCUACUGAUAGCCUUCCCAGUUUUCUUUUUCCUCAUGAUUACAUUUUUAACAGUCAACUCGUGGAUUUCUGGAAUGGUUUUAUAGUUUAUUAAAUAUUUAUAUUCUACAUCAUG